CCUACGGGAGGCAGCAGUGAGGAAUAUUGGGCAAUGGAGGCAACUCUGACCCAGCCAUGCCGCGUGAGUGAAGAAGGUUUUCGGCUCGUAAAGCUCUUUCGGCUGUGACGAUGAUGACGGUAGCUUCUCAAGACGCCCCGGCUAACUACGUGCCAGCAGCCGCGGUAAUACGCAGGGGGCAAGCGUUGUUCGGAAUUACUGGGCGUAAAGGGAGUGUAGGCGGAUUAGUAAGCUAGUGGUGAAAUCCCAGGGCUUAACUUUGGAAUUGCCAUUAUAACUAUUAGACUGGAUUUAAAGAGAGGAUAGUGGAAUACCCAGUGUAGAGGUGAAAUUCGUAGAUAUUGGGUAGAACACCAGUGGCGAAGGCGACUAGCUGGAUGGAGAUUGACGCUGAGGCUCGAAAGCAUGGGGAUCAAACAGGAUUAGAUACCCUUGUAGUC
rnacentral:rRNA from 1 species